UACGUAGGGUGCGAGCGUUAAUCGGAAUUACUGGGCGUAAAGCGUGCGCAGGCGGUUUUGCAAGCCGGAUGUGAAAUCCCCGGGCUUAACCUGGGAAUGGCAUUUGGGACUGCAAGGCUGGAGUGCGGCAGAGGAGACUGGAAUUCCUGGUGUAGCAGUGAAAUGCGUAGAUAUCAGGAGGAACACCGAUGGCGAAGGCAGGUCGUCCUGGGCUGACACUGACGCUCAUGCACGAAAGCGUGGGGAGCAAACAGG
rnacentral:rRNA from 1 species